UACGGAGGGUGCGAGCGUUGUCCGGAAUCACUGGGCGUAAAGGGCGCGUAGGUGGCGCGAGGAGUCAACGGUGAAAGCUCGGCGCUCAACGCCGAGUCGGCCGUCGAUACUCUCGCGCUCGAGCACUGUAGAGGCAGAUGGAAUUCCGGGUGUAGCGGUGGAAUGCGUAGAGAUCCGGAAGAACACCAGUGGCGAAGGCGGCUCACUGGCCCGAUACUGACGCUGAGGCACGAAAGCGUGGGGAGCAAACAGG
rnacentral:rRNA from 1 species